UACAGGGGGGGCAAGCGUUGUUCGGAAUUACUGGGCGUAAAGGGUCUGUAGGUGGCCAACUAAGUCAAACGUGAAAUCCCUCAGCUUAACUGGGGAACUGCGUCUGAUACUGGAUGGCUCGAGUGUGGGAGAGGAAUGCGGAAUUCCAGGUGUAGCGGUGAAAUGCGUAGAUAUCUGGAGGAACACCGGUGGCGAAGGCGGCAUUCUGGACCACAACUGACACUGAGGCGCGAAAGCAUGGGGAGCGAACGGG
rnacentral:rRNA from 1 species